UCUUGUUUUCUCCGUAUGGGCAACGACGGCGAUCUCGUGUCUCCGCAUGGCCGACGACGGCGAUCAAUUGUUUGUCGAAUUGGUUACCGUUUGGGGAAGAUCUGAGCGAGAGUUAGAUGAUACUUUUGGAAGAUCAGAGUCCAAGGCAAGAAUUAUACUGGAUUAGCGCUCUCUGAUUUUACAAAAGCUCUCUGUAGCCGGAGACUUGAUUCACGGAGAGAGGAGAAGAGUUUAGAAGCAAUGGAGGGUGGAGAAGAAGCUGGAGAUUUGAUGUGGAGAUGCUAACCGAUCGCGUAGAGUAUCACCAGCUUGAUUCAAAUAGUGUUCAAUCGGGAUUAGAAAGGCUAUGGCUUCGAUUGGUGCUUCUUGGGAGGCUGAGCUUUAUGCUAAGAGAUUAAAGGAGAAGGAACUGACUUCAGUUAAAAUCAAUGCCGCUGAUGUUGAGCUGAAGGAUAAAGGCAAGAACGUUGGUGUCAGUCUUGUCAAGCAAGUUGCUAAUGCGUAAUAAUGACAAAAACUUACUGUAGGUACGAUCACUCCACUGCUCUUAACUUCAUUCUAUUUUGUUGCUUUUUUCUUUAUUUCUUUACUCUGGACAGUAGUUGAUUGUGAUGAAUGCGUGUGAUGAAUGAUAGUUAGAGGAGUUAGGUUGUGGUUAGUGAAUGUGCGUGAUGAAUGAUGUUUAGAGUUAGUUUGUGGUUAGUGAAUUAAUAUGUUAGAUACAUGUUAAGUCAUAUAUUAACCUUUCUCUUCUCCUCUAUUAAUUCUGGUUUUAUUUCUCUUUCUUUCAUAUUUUCCUCUAUUAGUUUGUGGUUAGGAUCCUUCUUCUCUUUCUCUCUUCUUCGAAAAUUUAGAAAAUGGAUUCUACGAAUCCAUUUACUGUGAACUAGGCAUGGGCGUUCGGGUACCCAUUGGCAUUCGGAUCGGGUU